ACACCAUUUGUGGGCCACGGACGCAAACGUGCAACACGGCCUUAAUAUAACUUGAACGCGCCCAUUUGUCAUUCUUGGGUCGACGCCAUCUUGUUGCGCCUGCGCGCUGCACGAUGGGUUAGGUGUCAUGAUGACAUUCAUAUGACAUUUGAGAACUGAGAAAACGAAAACCAUGUUGCACGUUUCACGAUUGAUAUAAAAUUACAAUUCUACAUUUCAAACAGUUCAAUCUGCUAAAAAAGUAAUAACUACAUGGAACAAGCAUAACGUUAACUCGUAAUCGUUACACGGAAAAAUAAGUGCAAUAAUACAUUGAUUAAGUUCUUUGUUACAAAAGCGUUUACGUUGCCGAAGCGUGUGUGCUCCGAAGUGCCAAGAAACAAUAUGCAUACAGUUAUCACCUAUAUAAGUGACGAUUGGGUUACAACAAUUAUACCCACAAGUUACGAUGCGGCAAUAAAUUGCGAAAACGCGGACACGAGAUCAACAAGUGCGCUUUGGCUGUGUCUGUAAAGAAAGGACAUAAAACAGGUUCCUGAGGGGAGGAGGAAUGUUGUUCCAGCAGCGACUGGCCAAGUACUUAAAACUACCACGAAAUGCUGCUGAGGUGUGUCGAGGCGUCACCAGUUGAACACUGCAGUUACGAGCCCC